rnacentral:lncRNA from 1 species
AAGUCAGUGAGACCAAGAACCCACCAAUUCCGGACACAGAACAAUUAAAACCCCUGCAAAUUACAUAUGAAACAAGUUUAAGAGGACUUUGAGAGAUGAAGAAAAGCAGGCAGACCAGCCAGGGACCUUGCAGCCUGAAGAAGGACAGGAAGCUUGGUAGACACUUGUGCACUGUAUGAGUCCGUUUUCAUGCUCCUGAUAAAGACAUACCCCAGACUGAGAAGAAAAAGAGGUUUAAUUGGACUUACAGUUCCACAUGGCUGGAGAGGCCUCAGAGACAUGGUGGGAGGCAAAAAGCACUUCUUACAUAGCGGCAACAGGAGAAAAUGAGGAAGAAGCAAAAGCGGAAACGCUGAUAAACCCAUCAGAUCAGGGCUUCUGCAGUACUAUGCUGAACAGAAGAGGUGAAGGUAAGCAUCCUCAUCUUAUUCCUCAUCUUAUAGGAAAAGCUUUCACAUUUUCUCCAUUGAGGAUGAUGUUUAUUGUGGGCUUGUCAUACAUGAACUUUAUUAUGUUGAUGUACUUGCUUUCUAAACCUAGCUGUUGUGUGUUUUUAUCAUGAAAAGGUAUUGAAUUUUGUCAAAUACUUUUUUUGUAUUUAUUUACAUUAUCUUGUUAUUUUUAUCCUUCAUUCUAUUAAUGUGGUAUAUUGCAUUUGCUAAUUUGUAUAUGACGUUGAACCACCCUAAAGGUUCCUCAAAUAAAAACUUAGAACAAAUAAACAAAUUCAGUAAGGUUUCAGGAUACCAAAUCAAUGUACACAAAUCCACUGCAUUUCUAUUCACUAAAAGUAAAGCAUCUGAAAAGGAAAUUAAGAAAACAAUCCCAUGUACAAUGGCGUCAGAAAGAAUAAAAUGCUUGGUAAUAAACGUGACCAAGAAAGUGAAAUACUUGCUUCUUGAUAACUAUAAAACAUUGAUGAAAAAAAUUAAAGACACAAAUAAAUAAAAAACUUCCUCUGUGUUCAUGGAUUGAAUGACAAUAUUGAUCGGGUAUCCACACUAAACAAAGUAAUCUACAGAUUUAAAUUUAUUGCCAUCAAAUUCCCAAUGGCAUUUUUUAAAAUAUAAAAGCAAUUUGAAAUUCAUAUGGAACUACAAAAGAUCCAAAACACCCACAGAAAUCUUGAGACAGAGGAACAAAGCUGAAGGUAUCACACUUCCUGAUUUCAAAAUAUAUUAUAGAGCUACAGUAAUAAAACAGUAUGGUACAAGCAUAAAGACAAACAUAUAAACAAACAGAACAGAAUGGAGAGCCCAGAAAUAAACCCAUAUAUAUGGACAAGUGACCUGUGACACAGAUGCCAAGAAUACACAGUAGGGAAUGGAUACUCUCUUCAACAAAUGGCAUGAAGAAUAUCAGGUAUCAUGGAGUUUUCAGCCUUUUUGCGUGGGUUUUCCCUCAUGUUCAUGGAUUUAUC